UUGCUAGGCUCCAGUCCGCGCAGGAGUCAAGGGCGACAAGCAUGAGCUUGUGGCUGCGCAAACUAGCCCAGCAGCCAGGCCUCCCCGAGAGGCACACGCCCGCAUGGGCGCAGCUCACGGUGACAGAAUGAGGCUGAGUCAGUCACACGUGGGCUGUAGGACAGGCAGAGCCAAGCUGACGGGGAACACGUUCCAGAAGAGGGGCCGGGGGAGAGGCUGCCCAGGGGUCCUAGCACCUCCUCAGUGGCCCACAGAACACUGUGGCUGAGUUCAGUGUGCAUUCUCCUGGAGAGUGGAGACACAAGUUUUCACGAGUCCGUCAAAGGGUCUGGGACCUGCUACUCUGAAUGUUAAGAAGGGUCCCCCGCCAUCUUAAGGCCAUUGUUGAGGGCAGCUAGAAGCACCAGAUCUGGAAGAACACAGAGCAAGAAGACCCGUGCUCUACCCUUCAGCUAAGCUCAGAGAGACGUGACAAGGCGGCUGGGAGAAGACGGAGAUCAGUAAGAAUCCAGAGACGAAGGAACCCAAGGUCUGUGCAAGGACCCGCAGGGAGACAAUACGGAAGUAUAAGAAGAAGAGAGGCCGGGCGCGGUGGCUCAAGUCUGUAAUCCCAGCACUUUGGGAGGCCGAGACGGGCGGAUCACGAGGUCAGGAGAUCGAAAUCAUCCUGGCUAACACGGUGAAACCCCGUCUCUACUAAAAAAUACGAAAAACUAGCCGGGAGAGGUGGCGGGUGCCUGUAGUCCCAGCUACUCGGGAGGCUGAGGCAGGAGAAUGGCGUAAACCCGGGAGGCGGACCUUGCAGUGAGCCGAGAUCGCGCCACUGCACUCCAGGCUGGGUGACAGAGUGAGACUCCGUCUCAAAAAAAAGAAAAAAAAAGAAGAGAAGUAGGCUCAUGCAGGCCCACGUAAAUGGGAGGAAGGUGGAAGUUUCCGGACCGGAAGUCUAGGUGGGAGGCGCCAUGUUGCGGCCCAGUCGCUGCUGCUGACUCCACCAUCCCGCAGUUCGUUAAAUUAAAUAACUGCAA